AGAACGGGAGCUUUAUUGUUUGUUUGAAUAGUGUGCCUCUGUUGACUGGUAACUAUGGUGCUGACUGUGUCCCAGCAAUGCUGAGAUUGGCUCCCUCACGAGGCCAGUGGUGGCAUUCUCCGGGUGAACAAGGAUGUGGUUGCACAACACUAGAUGGAGAGGCCCUCAAAGGCUGUGUUUCAUCCUGCGAAAGAGUGUUAUCACAGCUCUUGCUGGGAACAGACGCAACCUGCGUAAACGUCUCUACAGAGGAGGAAACAUCCGUCCUGAGCCAACAGUCUCUGUUGCCAGAAGCUUCUGAACGGUGCGAUGCCGGUCCCUGGACCCACCAGGAUACAGGGGACUCUGUGGUCCUUGGGCAGCUGGAACAACGGAGCGCUGGGACGCAGCAGAUCCAACG